CGGUUGGCGAGCUCGCUCAGUGACCUUUACGCUGCAGACCUGGAGGAGGAUAAAAACCCUCCCUACUCUGGUCUUCCUCCCUCCUCCUCCUCCUCUGUGUCUCUCAGCCCCUCCCACUCCUCUCUGGCCCCUCCCUCUGUGUGUCGUUAUGGAAACAGCCCUCGCAGCGUGCAGCAGGAGGUCAACAACAACAGCGGUCUGUACGGAGCCUCUGCGGGGCCCCCCGCAGGGAAAAGCUCCGACUUCGUCCUCGGUAGCAGGACGGGGCCUCCGGACUUCAGGGGCCCGGGGCCCUACAGCGCCGCUCUGAAGGGCCCAUCAGGACGCUACCUGAGCCGCUCCAUACCUUCUCUUCAGUCGGAGUACGUCCAGUACUAGAACUACACAUCUGACCUGAGGACACAUUACCCACAAUCCCCCUCUGUGUGGGGCUCAAAGGGAAGCUAAUAAAGCAGCAGGAGUUCAGCUCGGUGACUGAAGAGACUCUGAGGCAGCAGCAGCUGCUCUCCGUCCAUACUGUAUGUAAAUGAGCUGUGUGCUAAUAAGCGGCGUGUGAAUGAGCUGUAUGCUAAUGAGCUGUAUGUAAAUGAGCUGUAUGUAAAUGAGCAGUGUUUGGCUGAAACAGAAGAUAUAUUUAGAUACAGAAUACAGAUUUUAUAUUUUUUAUUUGUGGCAGAUGAAGAUUUUUUUUUUGAUAAACUGAAGGAUCAGCUGAUGACGUCGUCAUGGUUACAGUAUUUACUUCCUGUUUCUGAUCAGAUUGUGUUGAUGUGAUUGGUCAGUGUUCUUUUCUAACAGCAAUAAUAACAAGAAGAAGAAGGGACCCAAAAGCAGACUCAGGUGUGUGUGUGUGAGCGAGGGGGCGGAGCCAGCAGCGGUCAACGCCCACUCAGCCUUAAAGACGCGUCUGAUUGAUCUUCCCAUCCGUGUAGUUGUUGAUUAAUCAGUGAUAGUCUGCAGCUCACACGUGCUCGUAAAUCUUUUAAUACCUUUACAAUAAAUUAAUGUAAUCUUUAUUUUGAGGAUGAAUAAUAUCUGAAAAUAUUUAUUUACUGUAGGAUUCAUAUUAUAGUUUCAGUAUCGGCCACAACCAUCACAACUAAUAUCGGCUCUGACGUGGAUCAAUACCGGCAGGAAUCAGGGUGCAUUUGUGUCGCGGUACUCGAAAAUAUUUUGUGUUUUUAUAUUUGUGUCGAGCUUUGUGUUCAGUAAAGUGGCAGGAAGGUCACAUGAUCACCGGAGGGUUUUAAUUCACACAGAAACGAGUCUGUGAUCAUAAAGCAGCAGGUUGUGAUGCGUUUACUGACCAGGAAGUGUAGUAAACUGCAAAAUUCCGGUCCUUAACGAGCAAAGAAGCAAACGGAGGAGCGAUCGUUAAAAAACAGACGAGACGAACAAGAAAAGAAACCAGAUAAAACAGAAACUAACUUCAGGUACGCUCAGACUCUUCCCUUUACACAAAUGAACAGGUUGACUUUAAAAUGUCUUUAUUUCAGAAAUGGAUGUUUUCUCAGUGAAACUAAAUGAAGCAGACAGAAGAAAACGUCGAACUGCUCCUCUAAACGUGUUAUUGAUCAUGUGACGCCAGCUGUUUACAAGUAUUUAAAUUUUUGUUUGUGUUUUAAAAUCUGAAUAUUUGCUGAUUGGCUGCUGGAGAUCAGCUGACCUUGCUCUGAAAUCUCCCAUUGGUUGAAACAACAAGACCUUUUCAGAAUAAAAGCUGCAACACAGAAACAGAAUGUUUGAAAAAACAGUUUAGUCCUUUUAAGGUGAAAUAUUUGAGCCAACAACUUCCUGUUACUGAGUCAGUUUACCUGUGAGUGCACUGCGGCCUGUACUGCGAGGCGGAUGUAACUGGCUUAUCCAGGUAACUUCAGGUGUAACUUCCCGGUUAACACGUACUACGAAAGGUGGACAGGUGUUACCCGAGGCCUGUUUCCAUGGCAAUUUACGCCGCAUCUCUAAACUGCUCCGAGCAGGUUUUGUUGGUGGUUACCUCGAGGUUCCCCUGCACGUGGACUCCACACCUCAUCUGUACUCAGUGUUACUGAUGAGAAGCAGGAUAUUAAUCCACACCGCUUCAUAAAACAUGUUUAGAUUUCAUCCUGAUUUGUUCCACUGAGGCUGCAGUGAAGUUGUGAACACAGCAGCAUCACGUUCACACAGCGAGCCCUGCAGCCUCGGGGAGUCAGAGAGGAAUCUUAAUUAACGGCACAGUUUCUUAGAUGGAGCUCGUCUGCAGGCUGUAACUGAAUUCUCCUGAGCGGUUUCACAUAUUUAGAUAUUUAGACUGUUUUACCUGUCCAAAAAAUACAGCGCCAGGGUCGGGCUUAAUAACGAGGGAAAAAAAUCCUCCAUGAAAGUGUGAAAUUUAAAAUCCCUGAAAUUAAAGUCACAAAAAUCACUCUGGAGUUUCCUUCUGAAUACGGCCGAUCCACGGUGAAGUCUGAGGUGCAGGAUAGCGACUGUGGGCUAAACUCACGAGUAUUUCCUCACUGCUGGAUCAGAUUGUGAAGUCUAAUAUAACUUUCCACUGCCUGCAGAAGUUUCUCUCAUAAAUGUGUGACUAUAAUCUCAGAGAAUAUUCAGGUUCUUCACUUGUAGAUUAAUCUUGGAAAUUAUUUUCUGUCUGGGAUUAUUCCCCCUCUGCGCUGGUUACAGUGGAGCUCGUGUGCAGCUGGACUUUUACAUCUUCAUCACGUUACACAUAAAAGAAGAGCCCAUAAAACACAGAAUAGAGAUUUGAACUACAAUCAGAACCCUGAAGAUAAUCAGGCUACAGAUUUACUCCAUGCGACGCCAACAAGCCUCCCUGGCUCUGUCGGCCGCCACGAUAUUAGAUUUAGAGUUAACUUGUCUUUACAGUCAUACUUUCCCGUCACUGCCAACGUGCGUUCCUCUGGAGAAAUACGGAGCACGCGCCGCUGUGAAAAACUCUGCCUGCGCGGCCGAACACGCCGCUUUUAUGCGAACGUGCACCAACUCCAAAUAAGUUAACGCCGACUCAGCUAACCAACGUCUGAUCCACCGCCGCAGUUUAACUCCAGCGUAGCGGUCAGAGUUUGUUACCCUCAGUUAACUCCCCUCGUGGUGCAGGCCACUGGUGUGACACGUUGUCUGUUAUUAAUAUUUAUAAAAAUAAUAAAAGGCGUCUCUAAGUGUCCGAAGUGCCUUCGACAUGUUAAAACUGCUGUUUGACUCAUCAGGGUUGUUUUCAGACGAGGGCUUUUAUUUUGGAUGUUUAAAUGAAGAACUUCCUGUUUUUAUUGUCAUGUUAAAGUCUUUUAAGAGAAAAACUGACAGCAGAGUUUCUAUCUGAGCAAUAACUGAAUAAAAUAAUGAUUCUUCUGUU